rnacentral:tRNA from 1 species
CGCUCCGUGGCUGAGCAGUAAAGCACUUGGCUUCUGUACUGGGGGUCUGGGUUCGAAUCCUGGUGAAGUGU